rnacentral:rRNA from 1 species
AACGGCGUCGAGCGGCGGACGGGUGAGUAAUGCCUAGGAAAUUGCCCUGAUGUGGGGGAUAACCAUUGGAAACGAUGGCUAAUACCGCAUGAUGCCUACGGGCCAAAGAGGGGGACCUUCGGGCCUCUCGCGUCAGGAUAUGCCUAGGUGGGAUUAGCUAGUUGGUGAGGUAAGGGCUCACCAAGGCGACGAUCCCUAGCUGGUCUGAGAGGAUGAUCAGCCACACUGGAACUGAGACACGGUCCAGACUCCUACGGGAGGCAGCAGUGGGGAAUAUUGCACAAUGGGCGCAAGCCUGAUGCAGCCAUGCCGCGUGUGUGAAGAAGGCCUUCGGGUUGUAAAGCACUUUCAGUCGUGAGGAAGGUGGUGUAGUUAAUAGCUGCAUUAUUUGACGUUAGCGACAGAAGAAGCACCGGCUAACUCCGUGCCAGCAGCCGCGGUAAUACGGAGGGUGCGAGCGUUAAUCGGAAUUACUGGGCGUAAAGCGCAUGCAGGUGGUUUGUUAAGUCAGAUGUGAAAGCCCGGGGCUCAACCUCGGAAUAGCAUUUGAAACUGGCAGACUAGAGUACUGUAGAGGGGGGUAGAAUUUCAGGUGUAGCGGUGAAAUGCGUAGAGAUCUGAAGGAAUACCGGUGGCGAAGGCGGCCCCCUGGACAGAUACUGACACUCAGAUGCGAAAGCGUGGGGAGCAAACAGGAUUAGAUA